UACGUAGGGGGCGAGCGUUGUCCGGAAUUAUUGGGCGUAAAGGGUACGCAGGCGGUCUAAGAAGUCAGAUGUUAAAGCGUAGGGCUUAACCCUAUAAAGCAUAUGAAACUGAUAGACUUGAGUAAAGGAGAGGAAAGUGGAAUUCCUAGUGUAGCGGUGAAAUGCGUAGAUAUUAGGAGGAAUACCGGUGGCGAAGGCGACUUUCUGGACUUUUACUGACGCUCAGGUACGAAAGCGUGGGGAGCAAACAGG
rnacentral:rRNA from 1 species